GAAAUGCGAUAAGUAAUGUGAAUUGCAGAAUUCAGUGAAUCAUCGAAUCUUUGAACGCACAUUGCGCCCGUCAGCAUUCUGGCGGGCAUGCCUGUUCGAGCGUCAUUUCAACCCUCAGGACCCCCCUUUCGCGGGGAGGGACCUGGCGUUGGGGAUCGGCCCGCCCCCUCGGCGGCGCCGUCCCCGAAAUCUAGUGGCGGUCUCGCUGCAGCCUCCCCUGCGUAGUAGUUACAACCUCGCAUCGGAGCGCGGCGCGGCCACGCCGUAAAACCCCCGACUUUCUGAACGUUGACCUCGGAUCAGGUAGGAAUACCCGCUGAACUUAAGC
rnacentral:misc_RNA from 1 species